CGGAAAAAGAGGGAUUCGAC
rnacentral:tRNA from 1 species